rnacentral:rRNA from 1 species
UACGAAGGUCCCAAGCGUUGUUCGGAAUCACUGGGCGUAAAGGGAGCGUAGGCGGCAUGGUAAGUCAGAUGUGAAAUCCCGGGGCUCAACCCCGGAACUGCAUCCGAUACUGCCAUGCUAGAGGAUUGGAGAGGUAGCUGGAAUUCUCGGUGUAGCAGUGAAAUGCGUGGAGAUCGAGAGGAACACUCGUGGCGAAAGCGAGCUACUGGACAAUAUCUGACGCUGAGGCUCGAAGGCCAGGGUAGCGAAAGGG